rnacentral:lncRNA from 1 species
GAGCACAUGGGCCCGCGGGCCGGGCGGGCUCGGGGCGGCCGGGACGAGGAGGGGCGACGACGAGCUGCGAGCAAAGAUGUGCCCCGGGACCCCCGGCACCUUCCAGUGGAUUUCCUUGCGGAAAGGAUGUUGGCGGUCCCUGUGACCUGUGGAGACACGGCCAGAUCUGCCCUCCAGCCUGAUCUUUUGGCCAGAAGGAGAUUAAAAAGAUGCCCCUCAAGAUGGCUGUGCCUGUCAGCUGCAUGGAGCUUCGUUCAAGUAUUUUCUGAGCCUGAUGGAUUUACAGUGAUCUUCAGUGGUCUGGGGAAUAACGCUGGUGGAACCAUGCACUGGAAUGACACACGCCCGGCACAUUUCAGGAUACUAAAAGUGGUUUUAAGGGAGGCUGUGGCUGAAUGCCUCAUGGAUUCUUACAGCUUGGAUGUCCAUGGGGGACGAAGGACUGCAGCUGGCUGAGAGGGUUGAGAUCUCUGUUUACUUAGAUCUCUGCCAACUUCCUUUGGGUCUCCCUAUGGAAUGUAAGACCCCGACUCUUCCUGGUGAAGCAUCUGAUGCACGUUCCAUCCGGCGCUCAGCUGGGCUUGAGAAUCAAGAGAUGCAUAUGCAGGUUUGUUACAGAGGUAUAUGGGAUGCGGUUGAAGUUUGGAGUAUGAUUGAACUCAUCACGCAGGACUUCGCAGGUGAGCAGUAACGGAAAUCAGCCCCGUUUAUUCCUCCCAGCACCUGCCUUAUCCAACUCCCCACGCUGUGGCUGAGUCCCAGCCUGCUAUGGAAGCAUCACUGGACUCCCAUUGAACUCUGUGCAGAUUCGCUGUUCGUAGACAUGGUACCUGAUGGACACCAAGCUACGUACAGCUUCAAGGCCCCUUCUUUCUUUGCUAAUAAAAAAUAAAAAAUAAAAACAUAA